AGGUAUAAAUGCAACAGGAAAACCUGGGCAAACGCUAGUUUGUUGCAUUUAGUCUCCUACUAAAUACAAAUAUAAUAAAUACCCAUUAAAAUGUUAAAGUACUUACUAUUUUUUUCUUCUCUCUUAAUUUGCUGUUUGGCAGCCCCAGGAUUUUUCCAUCCAGCUCCGAUAGUCUACCAUCCUGCUCCAAUUAAAGUGAUUGCCCCGGCACCAGCGAUUGUACCAGUUUAUACUAAAACAAUUAUAGCACACCCUGUACCUUUACAUCCGGUACAUCCAUGGUGGGGAUAGAAAUUUAAAAAAAAUUAUAAGUUGGACUUUUUCGGAAUGAAUAUUUUGCAAUGGUUACCAGGGAUUAUCAUCGAUAAAUAAAUGUAGAUUAAAAGAAUUUUUAGAUAUUUUGUACAGUUUAUAUACGAGUAUUUUUAUGAAAUUAAACAAUCAAAUGUUUAUUAUAAA